rnacentral:rRNA from 1 species
CAGCCGCCGCGGUAAAACCAGCACCUCAAGUGGUCAGGAUGAUUAUUGGGCCUAAAGCAUCCGUAGCCCGUUUUGUAAGUUUUCGGUUAAAUCCAUGCGCUUAACGUAUGGGCUGCCGGGAAUACUGCAUAACUAGGAAGUGGGAGAGGUAGACGGUACUCGGUAGGAAGGGGUAAAAUCCUUUGAUCUAUUGAUGACCACCUGUGGCGAAGGCGGUCUACCAGAACACGUUCGACGGUGAGGGAUGAAAGCUGGGGGAGCAAACCGGAUUAGAUACCCGGGUAGUCCCAGCUGUAAACUAUGCAAACUCAGUGAUGCAUUGGCUUAUGGCCAAUGCAGUGCUGCAGGGAAGCCGUUAAGUUUGCCGCCUGGGAAGUACGUACGCAAGUAUGAAACUUAAAGGAAUUGGCGGGGGGAGCACCA